rnacentral:RNase_P_RNA from 1 species
UUUGACAGACAAUCGCCGGCGGCAUAAUGGCCGCGGGAGGAAAGUCCGGGCUCCAUAGGGCAGGGUGCUGGAUAAUGUCCAGUCGGCGCGAGCCGAAGGAUAGUGCCACAGAAACGGACCGCCGAUGGCCGCCGCAAGGCGUGCACAGGCAAGGAUGGAACCGAGGUGUAAGAGACCCCGAGGAACGCUGGUGACUUCGUUCCUGGUAAACCCCACUUGGAGCAAGACCUAAUGAGACGCAGCUUGCGCCCUUAUGGGCCGAGCAGCUUUUGCCCGAAGUGCGUCUAGGUUGGUCGCUGGAGCUGUGCAGUAAUGUACGGCCUAGAUAGAUGAUUGUCGCCCAGUAGCGGGAGGGUAGUUCCCGAAUCACCGCAAACGGUACAGAACCCGGCUUAUGG